UAUUCCAGAAAGCAGGUUAUGUGACAUACCUGGGUAUGUUUAAGGGUAAGUUCGUGGAUAACCUCAACUUUCGGUUCCAAAAACGGAGGUAACUUUCUGGGGUUUCCAAAUGUAAUUGGGUGCAUUGAUGGCACUCACAUUCCUAUUAAAGCUCCACCAAUAAAUGAGGGAGACUGUGUUCAUAGGAAAUCUAUUCAUAGCAUCAAUGUGCAGGACAGUAAAAUGGUUUUUGCUGGGGGACAGAGGAUACCCUUGUCUGCCCUAUUUAAUGACACCCUACCCUGAACCUGAGCCUGGACCACAGACACGGUUUAACCUGCCUCACAGCCGAAUACGGGCCAAGGUGGAGAUGACUAUAGGGAUCCUCAAAUCUCAGUUUCAGAGUCUGCGUGGGCUCCGGGUUAGUCCAGAGAGGGCAUGCGACAUUAUAGUAGCGUGUGUUGUGCUUCACAAUAUUGCCACUAUAAGAGGAGAGAGCCACCCUCCUUGUAUUGAGGAAGAUGGCCCAGAGGAACACCUACAGAUUUUAGAGGCCAACAGAGACAGAAGACUUUUGAGAGACAGGGUCUGUCAAAAUCACUUUUAUUAAUUUUUUUCACUGGUCUGCCAGGCAGUUUAUUUCUUUAUUUCCUGAAAAACAAUAAAAUAAAAUUCAAUAAAA